ACCUGGGUGGCUCAAUGGUUAAGCGUCUGCCUUCAGCUCAGGUCGUCAUGAUCCCACAGUCCUGGGAUCGAGUCCCACCUCAGGCU
rnacentral:tRNA from 1 species